UAUUAAAAAUUUCAUCCAUUUCUACAGUUAAAAACUGACAUAACUGAAAAAAUAACCAAACAGCCUCAUGCUGACGUAAAGAGACCAGUUUUUAAGAGCAAAAAUGAAUGGAAUUUUUAACA
rfam:Gossypium hirsutum cultivar TM-1 chromosome 9, whole genome shotgun sequence